rnacentral:snoRNA from 1 species
AAACGAACACCCAAAUGAUGAGAACUUUUUUUCAAGAACCGGUAUUUUAGGAAGAGCCGGAAUAGGUAUGGCAGGAGACUUUAUUAAUCUCCUUGCCGUCGGUGCUUAUAAUGGUUCUACUGAAUGGUGUUUCUGG